UGGGCGUCCUGUGUGUGCUGACGGAUAGCCACGAACACCCAUGGACUUCCUGUGUGUGCUGGCGGACACCCACGGACGUCCUUUGUGUACUGAACUGACAGCCCACGUGGGCCAAAAUCACCCAAACAGUCCACGGGAAGUGUAGAAACCCGUUAAAAAAAAAAAAAAGAGAAAAGAGUGGUCGAGUAUCUUUGUGGUGGUCGAGUCGCGGGCGAUAAGGAUCGAUCGAGAAGUUUUGAAGUACGAGAAGGUCAAAGAAUGGAUUGUGAGUGAAGCUUGAGUUGAGAUAAGCUGCUCUACCAUUGUUAGAAAUGUCUUAGAUUGAUCAGACGGCAGUUUUGGAAGAAUCACAUUUUUGAAGCACGACGGUUUAGAAGCUCGACGUUUUUGAAGAUUGACGUUUCUUCAUUGCGAAGUUUUCUCGGAAUAUCUUCGUAUCAGUAAAAUAUUAUUCUAAAGACAUUAUAAGUCGGAAGCAGGACGGGAAUUAAGCAGGACGGGAAGCAAGCACGACGGGAUUGAAGCACGACGGAAAAACCAGAAGUUGGGCGAAAACCCUAAUUUCGGUAUUACAAAAUUCUUUGAGGAAGCCGGAGGCUCGGGAAAUAUUUUUAAAGGAUAUCAGACAUCAUCUGUAGUUUAUUAAAAAUAUUCAGAGAAUCAGAAUGGGAGCGGAAAAAUAUUCGGGAUUAAUCGCGGGUCAGAAAUUUACCGGAAGGACCGAAAUCAGGCCAAUGGACCGAGAAGCUCGAGGUGGCGUGUUGCAUGGGUUCAGUACGUGGUGUCAACCAUCUAACAAGCUCAGUGUCAACACAAGGAGGAGGUGUAGACGUGCAUGGAAGCAGUCCAUGCAGCCAGACACAUAGAAGUACGAGGUGGAACGGCCAAGCACGAGGUGUCUCCGCGCAUGGAACCGAAGCAUGCGGCCAGCCAUGUGUGUGAUGCUGUGGCGCCUUGCAUGAGUUCCAGUCAUGCAGCCUGACAUCUGGGAGGAGUGGUGGCGUCCUGCAUGUGUCCUGGACAUGCAGCCAGCCAUGUGGAGCACGAGGUGGAUCGGCCAAGCACGAGAUGUCGCGACGCAUGCAAUCGAAGCAUGCUGAUCGACAUGUGUGAGGUUGUGUGGCGCCUUGCAUGAACUCCAGUCAUGCAGCCUGACAUCUGGGAGGAAUGGUGGCGUCCUGCAUGUGUCCUGGACAUGCAGCCAGCCAUGUGGAGCACGAGGUGUCGCCGUGCAUGCGUCCGGAGCCAUGCGGAGCGACACACGGGCUGCCACCAACCUGAAGCUGAUUGGCUGGUGUCUCCUAUAAAUACCCCACGACCCCAGCUCAUUUCUUCACAUCCAGACCUGUCCAAACCAAGUUAAAACCUUGAGAGAAAAGUAGAAAAAGAAAGAAAGUGGUUUCGAGCUAUUUCGAGAGUUUUAGAGAGUUUUCGAGAUCAGUUCUCUAUUGAUUUCGAGUCAUCGCCUUGGGAAGGUUCUGUCCAACUGAAGGUCAAUCAAAUGAGAACAGCUCAGAUGGGAAUCAAGUCAACGUGGCCAGAGAGAAGAGAGAGAAAGGAAGUGUUCGAUCUAGAGUUUGAUCGAUUCUGAAGACCGAUACUCCACCGAGAAGGUCAGUUCCGUCCAAUCGGCGAUUCUCUACGAUUGUGACGCGGAAGCUCUGUCCAAUUCAAUCCGUCCAAGCCAGUCAUAUUCUCCUACAAUCAAGUGGAGGUGCUGUACAAGAUUAGUUCAGUUCCAUGGGUUCAGAUCAGUCGAAGUUCUCCUCGAUACUCCGCCGAAAUGUCCGAAGAACUGUCCAGCAGCUAAAGGAGAUUCUGUCCAGAUCAGUCUGUCCAGACGUGUCAGUUUCUUCAUGAUGAAGCCGAGGUUAUGUCCAAGUCAAGAUCAGUCCAGUCCAGUCCAGUCAAGGCGUCCCUUGGAUUUUGGCCAAGUCCUCUCCGAUCAACCAGCGGCUUCUCGCCUAGAACACUGUGAGUUGGUUUGUUUGAAUUCCACUUGGAAUUUAGGGUAGAUCGAGUCUGCAUAUAGAUUAGAAUGAUCACGUUAUUGAAUGGUAGAGUCCUUAGGGUUAUUUUAUUUAUGGAACCGGACUCAGUUUAGCAAGGGCUAAGCUGAGAUGAAUGGAAUUAAGACUGAGAUAAUAACCUGACUAGGACUAGGGCUAGGAUGCAUCAUGUUUUCUAUUAUUGCGUGUUGAUAUGUUGAGUGCAGGUUCCCGUUAUCUUUAAAGAUAGUUUCUCAGCGGGAGGCUGGACUAUCUGGGUAACGGUUUGAUUGUAUUGUUUAGUAUUGAUAUUAUUGUUUAGUAGUUAGUACUAAGGGUCUUAGGCCAUAUAGGCCGGACUACUGGUACUAUGGUUUGUGUUGUAGAGUUGAGUGUCUAGUUAGGAUCUGGAACUUUAUCUUUAGGUUAGGUUCUAGAUUGAGUUUGUGUUGUGUGAGUGUGCCGACAGUAUGUGCGUAACCCGCCCAUACUAGGCUUGUGUAGGGGUGAUUAGUGUUUCCUCGGCCUCGUACCCAGCGGGUUCAAGGAAACCCCUUAUUCGCUGGAUCGGGAAGACUCAGACGAACGGUGUCAUGUACUAUGGCUGAGUAUUACACGACGGUGUAAUGUGGCAGUGACCCGAAGGACUGUGGGCUGUCGCGCGGUGACCCGAAGGACUGUGGGCCGCGGUCGGUUGAAAGUUCCUUCUUCUGGCCUUUGUGGUAGGGAGAUAGGAUAUUGCCGAUAGAGAGGAGGAACACGAAGUCACCAGGGCCCAGGUUAGAGUGUUGUGUUAGAGUGUCGUAGAGGGUUAUGGAACCCUCGAGUUAGUGUAGCACCGAUAUACGGUGUUACAAGUUAGAUCGAGUCGUAGUUACUCAUAGUCUUAUUAGUGUGAUUGUGUUUGUGGUUGAUUGAUUUGCUUGCAGGUUCUGACAUCAAGUCCUAAGUCUGGCUUAGGUACCGGAUUAGGCUUGAUGUGUAUUUUGUUAGUGUAGGCCUGACGUUGGCAUAUAUGUGUUUGAGUGAUUGCUUGUGAAGGGUGGUGGAUAUUAAAGCUAUGUGGUAUCAUUGGUUGGCCGAUCAUGUUCUUGUUUGAUUGUUGGUCGAUCGGCCAAUGGUACUUGUAUAGUCUAAGUGUCUAACACUACAUGAGUAUUGAACUCAGGCGUAUAUAUGGUUAACUAGGGAUUGCUUGUUGACUUGUUUUAAUGCAGGUCCCCGUUACUUGAAGCUAGAUCUUGGCAGGAGGCCUAGUCUAACUUAGUAACGGUUUGCUUAGCCUUAGCUUUUAUUGCAUGUUAGGGCUAGAUUGAUUGUUAUUUUGGGUUGUCCGGGUUAGAGUCUAGGUUGCGGGUAGAGGCCGCCAGCUCACUGAGUAACAUUAGGUUACUCAUCCAACUCCGUUGUCCUUUUUGCAGGUCGCUUUAGGUAAGGAUGAUCGGAUAGCUUGGUGCUGGACGUUAGGACCGCCGGUGUAGAUUUUCAUGCCUUUUGUAAACGGUAUUGUGGAUUUGUGUUUAGUUGACUCGAUUUGGCAUUAGGCCGGGACCGGUCUCGAAUUAUAUCAAUGUAUGGAUAUUUCUCGAAUCAAUAAAGUAAUUGUUUUAUAUGCGCUUCAUGAGUACUCUGAUAUUUGACUAGUCCGGUCUAACACAACGUUAGGUCGAGGUACGGGUUGAAAAGCCUUAGGCCUUGAUCUAACGGAAAACGCUAACUCUAGGUACGGGUUGCAAAGCCUUAUGCCUUGACGCAGCGGGACGAGUUAGUGGAUGAACUGGUCUAGGUCGUGGAGUAAAGUUUGUGACUCUGACCGGAUUGUCCCUAGCCCGUCACGUAGCGCUUCCGGACCAUGAUGUUGGGUUGGACGGUCAGUCAUGUUCUUGUUUGAUUGUUGGCUGGCCGGUUGGCCUUUCAUCUCCAACCCUUGGUGUGGGUCGUCCGUCGGUCAUGUUCUUGUUUGAUUGUUGGCCGGUGGGUCGACCUAUGCUUAGGACGGUUCGGGGGUGUUACAGAGGUGGUAUCAGAGCAUGGUUUCGUCCAUGCUUCCAGAACUCAUGAUUUAAUCGGUUUUAAAUAUUUAUCGAGUCAAAUUGAGUCACAAAAGGCAUUAGGGAAACCGGUCACGUCCAGCGAUAGGAUUUGUGGUUUUAGGAAUUAGGAUUGAGAUAGUGGAAUCUAGAACUGUUAGGUUGCUUGGGUAGAACUGUUAGGUUGCUGGUUAGAAUUGCGGUUAGGUUGCAUUGUUAGUAUUUGCUGGGUUUGUAGAUUAUUUGAUUAAUUGUCUACUAACUUGCAUGUUAAGUGUUCUUUUGAGUUGCAGCGAGUAAGUAUGUUUGUUGAUCGGAACUUUAAGGGAUGAAAACCUUAAAGUGGAGGGAGUUCAAGGCCAAACCCAAACCCGAAGCGAAAGAGGAGAGACAGUUUCAGAGGGACUGGAUAGUGGUAUGGACUGGACAGAUGGGAGGAAACAAGACUUCAUUGGGGAAGGACUUCAUCAGUAGUUGGGAAGACGAAGAUCGAGAAAGGAUUUCAGGAAUCUGGUCAAGUUAGUAUCAUGGGCAAUCAGUGUUAUGACAGAAUAAGAGAAAGAAGACGACUCAGUCAAGAGAUAUGAAGAUGAUUGUGGAGACCUUGAGGAAGACACUCAAGGAACAGUUGUGGACAGAGUAAAGAGGUUAUGGAGACGCUUGGAGAAUGUUGUGAAGACGAGCAAUUUCGCAACUAAGAAUUCGAGGACGAAUUCUAUUAAGGGGAGGAGAAUGUAGAAACCCGUUAAAAAAAAAAAAAGAGAAAAGAGUGGUCGAGUAUCUUUGUGGUGGUCGAGUCGCGGGCGAUAAGGAUCGAUCGAGAAGUUUUGAAGUACGAGAAGGUCAAAGAAUGGAUUGUGAGUGAAGCUUGAGUUGAGAUAAGCUGCUCUACCAUUGUUAGAAAUGUCUUAGAUUGAUCAGACGGCAGUUUUGGAAGAAUCACAUUUUUGAAGCACGACGGUUUAGAAGCUCGACGUUUUUGAAGAUUGACGUUUCUUCAUUGCGAAGUUUUCUCGGAAUAUCUUCGUAUCAGUAAAAUAUUAUUCUAAAGACAUUAUAAGUCGGAAGCAGGACGGGAAUUAAGCAGGACGGGAAGCAAGCA
rnacentral:lncRNA from 1 species